AGCUUUGCGCAGUGGUAAUAUUGUAGCCAAUGAGGUUUAUCCAAGGUGAGAUUAUUGCUAAUCGAAAACUUUUAACUUUUCCCAGUACCCCACCAUGAUGGCUUGAAAUAUAGUCAGCACUGGCAAUUUUUGACAGUUUCUACGGAGA
ensembl:snRNA U4 U4 spliceosomal RNA